GGCUCCUGCUGCUGUGGUGUGGGACCUUCGAACAGCCUGUGGAAGUCAUCCUGUGAGGAACUGUGGCCUCCCCCAAGCAGCGCAUAUUGGAGGCAGAGGCUCCAGCCCCAGUCAAACCCUUAGAUGAUGGCAGCCCCAGCCAACGUCGUGACGCAGCCUCCGGAGAGACCCUGAGCCAGGGCCACCCACCUGAACUUACCCUGGAUCCUGACACACAGAAACUGCAAGUCGAUAAAGGCACUGGGCUAAAUGCAUCAAAAGGAUCUCACCAUCUCCCCAGCAGCCCACAGGGAGCAGAGGUUUUCAUUACCAUCAUUCUCAGAGGACACGACUGGGGCUCAGAGAGGGGAAGAAACCUCUCCAGCUCGCAAAGCUGAUUCAUUCCCCAAAUGGAUGAGACCCCAGCACAGGAGAAAUGCAUGACAGCCGGAUAAUAAACCCGCAUAUCAGAACUGUCAGAUCGUCUUCAGAGCAAAAGGCAACAUGCUCUCCCGAGAACCCAUGCUCUUAACCAGUGCAUUGAGCUGCCUAUUUUCUCACACCUAUAUCAACAUGAAAUUGACAAAUAUUUUGAUCAUAGCCAACCUGGUAAGUAAAAAAAGAAAAAAAAUCUAAUUUUAGUUUGUAUUUUCUGUACUAUGACCAAGGUUGAACAUUUCUUCAAAUGUUUAAGAAAUAUGUUUUUCCCUUCUGUGAACUGUUUUUAAUGGUUGUCUUUUUUCCUUUUAUCUAUUGACUUUCUUGUUGGUUUAUAGAAGCUCUUUAUGUAUUAAACAGUCCUUCUGUGAUAUG